rnacentral:rRNA from 1 species
GAUGAACGCUGGCGGCGUGCCUAAUACAUGCAAGUCGAGCGAACGGACGAGAAGCUUGCUUCUCUGAUGUUAGCGGCGGACGGGUGAGUAACACGUGGAUAACCUACCUAUAAGACUGGGAUAACUUCGGGAAACCGGAGCUAAUACCGGAUAAUAUUUUGAACCGCAUGGUUCAAAAGUGAAAGACGGUCUUGCUGUCACUUAUAGAUGGAUCCGCGCUGCAUUAGCUAGUUGGUAAGGUAACGGCUUACCAAGGCAACGAUGCAUAGCCGACCUGAGAGGGUGAUAGGCCACACUGGAACUGAGACACGGUCCAGACUCCUACGGGAGGCAGCAGUAGGGAAUCUUCCGCAAUGGGCGAAAGCAUGACGGAGCAACGCCGCGUGAGUGAUGAAGGUCUUCGGAUCGUAAAACUCUGUUAUUAGGGAAGAACAUAUGUGUAAGUAACUGUGCACAUCUUGACGGUACCUAAUCAGAAAGCCACGGCUAACUACGUG